rnacentral:lncRNA from 1 species
GACAAGGACCAUGCCCACCAAAUUUCUUGACCUUAUUAAUUUAACCAAAUUUAAACAUUAAAAAAAAAAAGUAGAAUUUAAGUUCUUAAACCCUAGGCCUUGGACCAGGAAACGUCUACAAUCCCCUCUUCUUUAUCCAGCUCCAAAGCACUCCACACAGCAUCAGACCCAUCAACAAUGUUAUUCUCACAAGGUGGCUGGUAUGCAUGCUCUUCGUCGCACCCACGCCUCGAGUCACACUCGUCAACCACCUUAGCCGUCACGCUUCUUCCGUUACUGGCGGUGAUCCUUUAUGCAGCUAUUCCCAGUCGGCUCUGCUACUUCUACUACAUGAUUUGAGUUCCCACAGGAUCGUCAUUAUUGCACUUGCCUUUCAUGCAAAUGGGGUAAUCAUAUAUAGCAGUCUUUGAGGUCUAGGCAUGGACCGUUGCUUUGGGACAUGCUAGCUUUCCCUUGUUAGAAAAACUGAUGGGUCAGUUGAUAUGGAAGGAUGUGGGAUUGGAAGGAGCAUCUGUGCAUGAAUUUAGGUUCCGUUUGGUUUGCGAAAAAUUAAUUUUUGAAAAAUAAAUUUAUAUUUUUAAGUUCUUGUUUAAUGAAAAAUUGAUUGGUCAUGGAAAAAUGAUUUUUUAUCAAUAAAAAAUAAGAUCAUUUUUUUUUUAAAUUAUCUUACAAAUUUGAAAAGGAAAGAUAUUUUUUAAAAAAAAGCUGGCCAUAAGUAGAAUUAUUUAUCAAUAUUUUUAAGCAUAAUUUUACUUAUAAAUAAUAUUAUAUUAAUAAAUAAUAUAAUAAAUAUUAUUAAUUUAACUAAUAAAUAUUAUAAUAAUAUAUUUAUAAAUAAUAUACUAUUAAUAUAAUAUAUUAUUAAAUAAUAUAUAAUAUAUUAAUAAAUAAUAUAAAAGAAUAAGAAUAGUUUUAUUUUGAGUAUUUUUAUAUUAACAUAAUAUUUAAUAUUAAAUAUUAUUAUUAAAAAUAUGUUAUUUUUAAUGUUAAUAAUUUUAAUAAUAAAUAAUUUUAAUAUAUCUUAAUAAUAAAUAACUUUGAAUAUUUUAAUAGUUAUAUUAAUUUAUUUGAAAAAAAAUAGAUUUUUCAAAAAAAAAAAUAAACAACGAAAAAUAUUUUUAUUAAUUUAUCCAAACAAUUAAAAUUUUCUUUUAAUUCAGAAAAUGUAAGUAUGUUUCAAAAAUCAUUUUUCAGAAAUUAUUUACUGUUAAACAAACUUAACCUUAUAAAAUUAUAAGGAUUUAAACAGAAAUGUCCUCUUUGAUAACUGAAUUCUUGUCACAAUAUCAAUUAGAUUAUAAAGAGCACACAACUGAUUGAUGCCAAAGUCCAUGUCUUCCCCAUACUUCAUUAAAAAAAAAAAGAGUAGAUUUUAAGUUCUUCUUAAACCCUAGGCCAUGGACCAGGAAACGUCCACAAUCCCCUUAUCUUUAUCCAGCCCCAAAGCACUCCACACGGCAUCAGACCCAUCAACAAUGUUAUUCUUACAAGGUGGGCACCCCUGCCCCGAGUCACACUCGUCA